AGUGAACGCUGGCGGCAGGCCUAACACAUGCAAGUCGAACGGCAGCACAAGAGAGCUUGCUCUCUGGGUGGCGAGUGGCGGACGGGUGAGGAAUGCAUCGGAAUCUGCCCAUUUGUGGGGGAUAACCUCGGGAAACCGGGACUAAUACCGCAUACGACCUACGGGUGAAAGCAGGGGAUCUUCGGACCUUGCGCAGAUGGAUGAGCCGAUGCCGGAUUAGCUAGUUGGAGGGGUAAAGGCCCACCAAGGCGACGAUCCGUAGCUGGUCUGAGAGGAUGAUCAGCCACACUGGGACUGAGACACGGCCCAGACUCCUACGGGAGGCAGCAGUGGGGAAUAUUGGACAAUGGGCGCAAGCCUGAUCCAGCCAUGCCGCGUGUGUGAAGAAGGCCUUCGGGUUGUAAAGCACUUUUGUUGGGAAAGAAAAGCAGCCGGUUAAUACCCGGUUGUCAUGACGGUACCCAAAGAAUAAGCACCGUCUAACUUCGUG
rnacentral:rRNA from 1 species